GUGGGGAAUCUUCCGCAAUGGACGAAAGUCUGACGGAGCGACGCCGCGUGAGUGAAGAAGGCCUUCGGGUCGUAAAGCUCUGUCAUCAGGGACGAACGGCCGGUGGAGUGGAAAGCCACCGGAUUGACGGUACCUGAGAAGGAAGCCACGGCUAACUACGUGCCAGCAGCCGCGGUAAUACGUAGGUGGCAAGCGUUGUCCGGAAUUAUUGGGCGUAAAGCGCGCGCAGGCGGGAGGUCAAGUCUAUCUUAAAAGUGCGGGGCUCAACCCCGUGAGGGGAUGGAAACUGGUCUUCUUGAGUGCAGGAGAGGAAAGCGGAAUUCCUAGUGUAGCGGUGAAAUGCGUAGAUAUUAGGAGGAACACCAGUGGCGAAGGCGGCUUUCUGGACUGUAACUGACGCUGAGGCUCGAAAGCGUGGGUAUCAAACAGGAUUAGAAACCCGGGUAGUCC
rnacentral:rRNA from 1 species